rnacentral:rRNA from 1 species
UACAGAGGUCCCGAGCGUGUUCGGAUUUAUUGGGCGUAAAGGGCGCGUAGGCGGGCUGACAAGUCUGGGGUGAAAUGCCGCGGCUCAACCGUGGAACUGCCUUAGAUACUGUCGGCCUCGAGGAAGGUAGGGGCAUGCGGAACUGUAGGUGGAGCGGUGAAAUGCGUUGAUAUCUACGGAACUCCGGUGGCGAAAGCGGCGUGCUGGACCUUUUCUGACGCUGAGGCGCGAAAGCUAGGGGAGCAAACGGG